GGAGACGGGGAGCGUCCAUUGGCCCUUCCCUAGGUGGAGUGGCAAAGUCCGAGCCCCGCAGCCGACCCUACGUCCCUACGUGGAGGGGGGCGGGUGGAGUACCGGUGCCGCCAUGACCUACUCCCGUCCCCCGCCGGAGGCUAGAGUAGGGCUGAGGGGGAGAUGAGUGUGUCUGGUUUGGAGAGCGGGGGCGGACACUGGGAAGGCUCCCAAAACAGGUUUUGCCCCAUCUGUUUUAUGAACGACCUCUUCAGGCCAGAAGCCGGAUCCCAGGGGUGGCGGCCCUUCGACCUUCGAAAGGAGACCCGGGCCCCCAGCAGGCCCUCUGGCUUCGCGCUCUGUCGCCUGCAGUGGGUGGGAG
rnacentral:lncRNA from 1 species